ensembl:rRNA 5S_rRNA 5S ribosomal RNA
GACAUUUGGUAGAGACUGUUGAAGCCACCUGGUCCCAGCAGACCCCAGAAGGCGGCCACAUUCGCUGGUGCUGGGGCAAGUUCGUUGAGGGUGAAGCCUGGUGCCAGAUGUGU